rnacentral:tRNA from 1 species
GUUCCUGUAGUUGAGUUACAACGAUGGUUUUUCGAGUCAUUGGUCCUGGUUAAAGUCCUGGUGGGAAUU